UACGGAGGGAGCUAGCGUUGUUCGGAAUUACUGGGCGUAAAGCGCAUGUAGGCGGCAGCGCAAGUCGGGCGUGAAAUCCCACGGCUCAACCGUGGAAGUGCACUCGAAACUGCGCAGCUAGAGUCCUGGAGAGGAAGGUGGAAUGCUUGGUGUAGAGGUGAAAUUCGUAGAUAUCAAGCGGAACACCGGUGGCGAAGGCGGCCUUCUGGACAGUGACUGACGCUGAGAUGCGAAAGCGUGGGGAGCAAACAGG
rnacentral:rRNA from 1 species